CCUGAACGCUGGCGGCGUGGCUAAGACAUGCAAGUCGCACGGUGUAGCAAUACACAGUGGCGAACGGGUGAGUAAUGAAUCGCUAAUGUACCCCGGACUCUGGGAUAGCUAACCGAAAGGGUAGGUAAUACCAGAUGAGACCACGAACAGGCAUCUGUUUGUGCUCAAAGGUCCGCCGGUCUGGGAGCAGGCGAUUUCGUAUCAGCUAGUUGGUGAGGAACGGCUCACCAAGGCGACGACGCGUAGCCGGACUGAGAGGUUGGCCGGCCACAUCGGGACUGAGACACUGCCCGGACUCCUACGGGAGGCAGCAGUAAGGGAUCUUCCGCAAUGGGCGCAAGCCUGACGGAGCGACGCCGCGUGGACGAAGACG
rnacentral:rRNA from 1 species